GACGAACGCUGGCGGCGUGCUUAACACAUGCAAGUCGAACGGAAAGGCCCUGCUUGCGGGGUACUCGAGUGGCGAACGGGGGAGUAACACGUGGGUGAUCUGCCCCGCACUUCGGGAUAAGCCUGGGAAACUGGGGCUAAUACCGGAUAGGAGCCAUUCUGAGUGUGAGGGUUGGAAAGUUUUUUCGGUGUAGGGUGAGCUCGCGGCCUAUCAGCUUGCUGGUGGGGUUAGGGGCUACCAAAGCGGCGGCGGGUAGGCGGCCGGGGUGGGUGGACGGCCACAGUGGGGCUGGGAUAACGCCCCGACCUCUUCCGGGGGGCGGCGUUGGGGAAAUUGGCCCAUUGGCCGGAGGCCGAUGGCGCCAACCCGGGGGGGGGAAUGCGGCCUUCCGGUUGGUAACCCGCUUCCCCAUGGACGGAGCUUUUUGUGACGGUACCUAGUUAAGAAGCACCGGCUAACUACGUG
rnacentral:rRNA from 1 species